CUGGAGGAUCCUGCUGUCUUGUGGGAUCCUCUAUAGAACUCAAUGCUGUACUCUUGCACAAGAGCAAUGGGAAAGCAGUGACAUUGGCUGCUGGUUCUAAAGCACCAAGAACUGAAGAGGACCUACCGGAGGAAGAUGACUGUACCCACAAAGGACAGGCUCAGAUAAGUAGAACUCUCCUUCACCUUUUUCCCCAGCCACCAGAUCCCAGUGGCGAUGCAAAAGGUCCCAUACAGUGACAAUACCGCUUUAAAUAAUAAUAAUAACAGAGUAUUUAA